AGUGAACGCUGGCGGCGUGCUUAACACAUGCAAGUCGAACGAGAACGGAAUAUAGCUUGCUAUAUUUGUCAGCUAGUGGCGCACGGGUGAGUAAUGUAUAGAUAACCUGCCCUUAAGAAAGGAAUAACAGUUGGAAACGACUGCUAAUGCCCUAUAUGCCUUUAAUACAUAAGUAUGCAAGGGAAACGCUUUAGUGCUUAAGGAUGGGUCUGUAUGGUAUCAGCUUGUUGGUGAGGUAAUGGCUCACCAAGGCUAUGACGCCUAACUGGUUUGAGAGGAUGAUCAGUCACACUGGAACUGAGACACGGUCCAGACUCCUACGGGAGGCAGCAGUGGGGAAUAUUGCAUAAUGGACGAAAGUCUGAUGCAGCAACGCCGCGUGGAGGAUGACACAUUUCGGUGCGUAAACUCAUUUUAUAUAGGAAGAUAAUGACGGUACUAUAUGAAUAAGCACCGGCUAACUCCGUGCCAGCAGCCGCCGUAACAC
rnacentral:rRNA from 1 species